AAUAGAAAUUCUUAUCUUGGCACAAUAGAUACAGUACCGUAAGGGAAAGAUGAAAGAACUGAGCAAAGACAAGCCCUUAUACCUUCUGCAUAAAGUAUUAAGUAGAAAUAACUUUACACAGAGAUAGCCAAGUCCCCCGAAACCAAAUGAGCUAUGCAAGAAUGGCUGAAAGAGCGUACUCACCUACGUGGCAAAAUAGUGGGAAGAUUCAUGAGUAGUGGUGAUAAGCCUAUCAAGCCUGCUGAUAGCUGGUUGUCCAAGAUAGAAUCUUAGUUCAGCUUUAAACUUACCCACAGAAUUACUUAAUGUCCCUGUAAGUUUAACUGUUAAUCUAAAGAGGGACAGCUCUUUAGACCCUAGGAACCAACCUUCCUACAGAGAGUACAAAAUAACAUCGCCAUAGUUGGCCCAAAAGCAGCCAACAAUUAAGAAAGUGUUCAAGCUCAACAUCCAAGUAUCUUAAAUUCUAAUCACUCUACGGAACUCCUAACAUUACACUGGUCUAAUCUAUUAUUUAAUAGAAGCAAUAAUGUUAAUAUAAAUAACAUGAAAAUAUUCUCCACCGCAUAAGCUUACAUAAGACUGGAAUAACCCACUGACUGACAGUUAACAGCUAGAUAUUUUACAAUAAGCAUCCUAUUAUUUAUACUGUUAAUCCAACACAGGCAUGCUCUAAGGAAAUAUUACAAAAAGUAAAAGGAACUCGGCAAAUCUUACCCCACCUGUUUACCAAAAACAUCACCUCUAGCAUUACCAGUAUUAGAGGCACUGCCUGCCCAGUGACAUAUGUUCAACGACCACCAUAUCCUGACCUUGCAAAGGUAACAUAAUCACUUGUUCCCUAAAUAGGGACUUAGAAGAAUGGCCACAUGAGGGUUCAGCUGUCAUGAGGGUUCAGCUGUCUCUUACGUUUAAUCAGUAGAAUCUGACCUAUUGGUGAAGAGGAGCUUAUAAGCAAAUAAGAUGAGAAGACCCCAUGGCACUUUAAUUCAUUAAUGCAAAUAAAAACUCAAAAAGCCUAUAGGCCUUAACCUACUAUCUCUGCAUUAAAAAUUUUGGUUGGGGUGACCUCAUAGCAUAUUCAACCUCCGAACAACCUAAACUAAGACCACAGUAGUCUAAGCGAGUUAAUACACAUUGACCCAAUAAUUUGAUCAACAGAACAAGUUACCCUAGGGAUAACAGUGCAAUCCUAUUCUAUCAUAUCAAUAAUAGGGUUUACGACCUCGAUGUUGGAUCAGGACAUCCUAAUGGUGUAGCCGCUAUUAAGGGUUCAUUUAUUCAAUGAUUAAAGUCCUAUGUGAUCUGAUUUCAGACCAGAGUAAUCCAGGUUGGUUUCUAUCUGUUUAACAUUUCUCCUAG
rnacentral:rRNA from 2 species